AUAGAUGCAGGCAGAAAUGCACUGUAUACUCGUGGAACCGAAUUAGCGUUUAAGCGCUAUGCAAUAGCGCCGGACACGGGGAGCCGCCUUCGGGCGGCUUUUUUUGU
rnacentral:sRNA from 1 species